CCCCAAUCUCCAUUGGAUCCAGACGGCUGUGACAAGGCCUUAUCGGCCGAUCGUAGCUGAUUGUAAUCAUACAAGUUCUAUUUUUUCUGGACGCCGGAGCAUGGCGGAUAAAUUCAGAACACAUUAACCCGUGCUGGAAAGGAAGUCGGACACAGACACAAAAUAAAACAUCCGGCUUCUUUUCAAAAUAAAACACUCUGUGUUUCAGGAGGAUCGUAUUUCACACCAUGCAAACAGGCGGAGACGAACAAGUGAAAGGUUUUUAGACGUCAUUUCACCCCGAUGACACCAUGGAUGAGGAGAUGCUGAUUCUAGAAGUCUAGAAGUAGAUUUCCUCCUCUGGAAGGAC